rnacentral:rRNA from 1 species
GACGAACGCUGGCGGCGUGCCUAAUACAUGCAAGUUGAGCGAUGAAGAUUGGUGCUUGCACCAAUUUGAAGAGCAGCGAACGGGUGAGUAACGCGUGGGGAAUCUGCCUUUGAGCGGGGGACAACAUUUGGAAACGAAUGCUAAUACCGCAUAAUAACUUUAAACAUAAGUUUUAAGUUUGAAAGAUGCAAUUGCAUCACUCAAAGAUGAUCCCGCGUUGUAUUAGCUAGUUGGUGAGGUAAAGGCUCACCAAGGGGAUGAUACAUAGCCGACCUGAGAGGGUGAUCGGCCACAUUGGGACUGAGACACGGCCCAAACUCCUACGGGAGGCAGCAGUAGGGAAUCUUCGGCAAUGGACGAAAGUCUGACCGAGCAACGCCGCGUGAGUGAAGAAGGUUUUCGGAUCGUAAAACUCUGUUGGUAGAGAAGAACGUUGGUGAGAGUGGAAAGCUCAUCAAGUGACGGUAACUACCCAGAAAGGGACGGCUAACUACGUG